GGACUUCACACCUUCACCUGACACUUGCUGUGUGAGCAAGCAGAGAGAGGAGCAGCUGAAGACAGAAGGGAAAAACAACAAGUUACUAAUACUGGUCUGUAGCAGGAGUCAGGACUCUGCACAUCAGAAAGAAUUGCAGUCUUUGAGAAGUGUUGAGAAGUGGUGGCGACAGGUAAACUUGGGAUAAAACAUGGGUGAGGAGGGACUCAAGAUAUGACCACUACUUCAGAAUCUUUCUGCUUCUGUGCAGACAAGAGGAGAUGAAGGAAAAAGGAGAGGACAGGAGAAACAUGGACAGUUCUGGCUGGGAGUUGGCUUUUUUAAUGCUGCUGCAAACUGGAAAGGACUGCAGAAAGAGCAUGAACUCUUCACCCAUUCUGAGCCCUGACAAGCUUAAAAUAACUUAAGCACGUAUCUGCUUGUGUGCUCAGAGAUGUGUAUUUAUCAGGUGAUUAGGUUUAGGUUUAAUUGUUAAAGGUGGUUAGGUUUAAUUGUUCAGAACUUAAAACCAGUAAAGGAAAAAGACCUGAAGGCCACAGCUCCUUACAUUUGGUACUUCAAGGUCACUAAGGCUGUCAGGUCCUGUGAGGGUGGUGAUGGCGCAAGGGUUGACUCCAGUUGGUCAAACUCUCCCUUCCAGAGGGAUUGGACAAAGGCUCAGUGGUGGUAAAUGAUGAGGGUGAGACAGUGCCAGGGAAAUGUUUCCUUUGGUAAGUUUUUGUGCUAGCAUAAAAAUUUCCUAUUUGAGUGGUAUGAGGUUUUUUUAAUCCAAGAUGAGUAACAGGCAGAAUUCAUCAGCCUUCUUACUCAUUUCAUCCAGACAGGCCUUAGAUUCCCUCUGCACCAUUUUUGGUCCAUUAACUUGCCUUUGUAUUGCCUUCUAUUUGCUGCAUAUGCCAAUACCACACUUGACCUUUUUCAGGGCUGUUUCAGGAAGUUCUAUUGACUUCUGUAAAUGCUGUCUUGGAACAGACUAAAUAAGUCACAGUUCCUAAAUGAGAGACAGCCCAGAAGAGCUGAAGUUUAGCACAGUGUAGUAAGGAAUGGCACGGAGAGUUUCUCUUUCCAGCCAGAACAGCUAGGAUGUUGGGCUCCUGCUUUUUGGGGAUGAGGAAGGUGGCAAAGCAACUGGUUUGGCACUAGUUAAGGAUUUUAGCUAAAACAAACACAUUCUUCUUGUGAAGUCACUGCAAUGAACUGGUAUUUGUUCAAGAAAAUAUCCAGUCAGAGCAUCCUGGUCCGUAUCUACUUCAGCCAUUUUUUUUUCAGAAAGGUACACGUACAUUUGUACUUACACAGGUGAGAACAUGCUCCUAUAUUGCUGCUCUUCUGCUUCUGCACAUGGACUUUCCAUUCCUGGGGCAGCUGCAAAUGCCAGCUUUUUCCUGCUUAAAAAAAAGUCAUUAUUACUCCAUCUCACCAAAAGGUUUUAGUGCACUUAAAAUAUAGAACACUAAAAAUGGAUUAACACAACAGAGAACCAAAGUCUGAACAAGCCUUCCUAUCAGUUAAUCAUAGAAGCUAUUAGGACCAACCUGGAUGAAAGACAAAGUCAUAAUUAACUUGACAUUAAGAGCACAUUGCUGCAAUACCAUUAACGUUACUCAGAAGAAUCUUAAGAUUUUGAAUAUCCCUUCCUGCACAUGCUAUUAAACACAGAUCCAGGCUGAGAUAAAUCAGAUUGCAAUAAAGUCUGUACCUCUCUUACUGACAGAAAUAUUCCCUCUAGUUUCUGAUCUCAGUCUCCUGCAAAAAAGUUUCAGCCCAUAGUUGCUUUUAUGACAAAUGAAACAAGCAAGCAGAUGUGGCCAGAGGUGAUAGUGUGCAGAUUUUUUGACAGUUACAUCUUAAAUUACAGGAUGAUUAUGAGAACACUUAGUUUAUUAUUUAUUACAUGAGCUGUACCUUCUAGUAAUUAAUAAAACCAUCAACACCCUUUAUAAAUGCCAGAAGGUUUUUAUCUUGAAAUACAUUCUUUGCCUUCUUGCUGCUAUGAUACCACCCACCUCUGAAACCCACAAGACAGAGACACUACCACAGCAGUCCUGUAUCAUUUAAUAUUUUUGAAUAGCCCUCCACAUGAAUAAAGAUGCAACACACAGUGCACAGUUUAAUUAGUUUAUUUUUUAAAGUUCUGUCAGAAAUAUAGCUGUGCAUUAAUUACAAAAUAUAUUAAACUAUCACUCAAUUCAUCCAAGGGAACAGGAAUACUCUCAUUUUGUUCAAAUGCAAACAAAUACAAACCUUUAACAUUGACACAGAAUAAUCUUUUGCAUCCAUCAUCAAUGUAUUUGGUCUGCUGCCAUCUCUAAAUAAGAACAGAAUGGUCACCCUGAUUUCAUUAUCAAAUUUAAUCCCUUGAUAGCAAACAUGACCAGACACAUCAUGAAACUGCUUAAAAAACAACUCUAUACAUCUCACAUUAUCUGAGCUUCCACAUAUACAUUACAUACCAAUAUUUUUAGCAAAAUAAUUUUCCCUGCCCUGCAGGAGAAGAUAUUCUGAGGCAAAGUGAUAACAUGUUCAUACUAUAUUAUAAUUGGAAAAUGUGUGCUAUAGCAGCUCUGAAAAUACUAAGAGUGGGUGACUUAAACCAUGUUAAAGACAACAGAAAUUUGGAAGCUAAAUAAGCUAAGACACUUUUUAAACCACCUUGAGAUCUAGUAAUGCUGCAAAGCAUUGACUUACAGAAUGAAACCCCACUGCUGAACAAGUUACAUAGGACAUGGGUUAAUUAAAAUGUUUCUUUGAUUCAGAGACAACUCAAUGCU